rnacentral:misc_RNA from 1 species
GUUUGAACUCACUGCCUUGUUUUCUGCUGCAUUGUCGUAAAGUGGGACUCCCCUCUCCUCGCCACCGUCUCUGCCUCGCCUUUUUCGGGAGAGACGCGUGCGUUUGUCACGUUUGGAGUGCUUGCUGUGUAUGCACGCAACAAUAUCGAGAACCAUCCUAGUACACCGGGUCUUGCAGUCUUCAUGUCGUUGCCUAGCAACGGCAACGACCACGGUAUCGCAAACGCGCCCACGGUGGCCAACGAUGCCGCCGCGGCCGGCGCGCACGCACCCCCGGCAAGCAUCGGCAACCAGACACCAAAGCUGAGGCUGUCAGCGCUCACAACCGUGGGACCAGAGGCAGAAGCAGCGAACGGCGCGCUGCGUAUCGCCGGUGGUGAUGUGCCGCAGCAGCUGCCCGCACGCGUGGCUUCCCCAACGGGGAGAGCGACGACGAUGACACCGCUUACAGCCGCCUCCUCCCCGCGUGGCCCUGCGGCGGCAACCGCAUCGUCACAGGAGAGCGUCAGCGUCAUUGUGCGCUUGAAGGGGGCCCCAAAGUUUUCCUCUUCAACGGCGCUGCUCUCUUACGCGGUGGAGGAUGGCACACUUGCGACGCCGCGGGUGUCCUGUCGCCCCUCCUCGCGGGACUGCGGAUCCGCCUCGCCGCGUUUGCACAGCCCGCGCGCAGCUCUCGGCUGCGGAAGCGCGGCAGAGCCGUCCGUCGCUCCGUCGACAUCCUUUCCCGGCGCUGACGGAGGCGCCGAUGUCGCCGCGGCUGCAUGUACGGAUGCCUCCGAAUCUCCUGUGUUGCCAGUAUCGCAGCCCAGAGCGUCUGCGUCUUUGUUGACGCAGACGUCGAAGCAGCAGCCCUUGACCCCUGCCUCUCCAACAAUGCACUCGUCACCGCGGCCGAGCCUCUUCGCGGCCGAGUCCCCGGCUACGCAUCACCACCAAGAGGACCGCAGCUCUGGUGCCAGCGUCGUGCUGGGUAGCGCCGCUGCGGCUGGCAGGAGCAUCGGCUCACACGGCCGCGUGCUCACCAUCACCUUUCCCAACACGAGGGAGCGCCGAAAGUAUGAGUUUGGCGAGGUACUGGAGCCCGAGGUGACGAACGCGGCCCUGUGCGAGCGCCUCAUCCCCUCCGUCAUGGAGCAGAUGGCGGCUGGCUUCGAUGUGUGCGUGCUGUGCUACGGCCAAACCGGGAGCGGCAAGACGUACACGAUGAACGCGCUGGCUCCAGCCGUUGCCGAGGAGGUCUUUCGCUCCCUCGACGUGAACAACGAGGUGGUGGAGAUGAGCUACAUACAGAUUUACAACAACAAAGCCUACAACCUGCUUGACGGUGCCCGCUCUGGCAGGCUUGGCGCCGAACUGUCACGUCCGCUGACGAGCAGCACCGGUACCGGCAACAGCGGUGGUAGCAGCUGCUUUGCCAGUGCCUCGGAGCCCAAGGUUCUGAUCCGGAGCAGUGCUGAGAUGCUCGCCAAGAUGAAGGCGGCGUCGCGACUGCGCGUGACGCAUGCGCACACCCUCAACGCCCGCAGCUCGCGUUCCUUCACCCUCCUCUCUCUCCACAUCACGCGCUUCCUCGACGGCGCGCCGCUCACGACGACGCGGGUGACACUCGCCGACCUCGCCGGGACGGAGAGACUGAAGAAGAGCGGUGCCACCGGGGAGGCGGCCGAUCAGGCCAUCUUCAUCAACAGGUCCUUGAUGGCGCUGCGCCAGCUGGUGGAGUCUCGCGGCACGGAAGCAGAGGUGCUGCACUUCCGCGAAUCGCUGCUUACCACAUAUCUCGCCCCGCGCAUGCGCAGCUGGCACCUCAUUCUUCUCGUUACUGUCUCCCUCGAGGCGGGCAGCUUCGAGGAGACCAAGUCGUCGCUGGAGUUUGCGACCAACGCGCGACGCCGCAAGGUCAUGAAGGUGAAGAGCGGGCUCGAGCAGAGAUUGCCGAGCACCGUCGCCCGCCUCUAUGGACGGCCCAGCUUCCUCGUUGCCGCCGGUGGCGUGGGCAGCGGCAGCGGCUGGAACGCGCGCGAAGACAACGCCGACAGCAGCGAGCUUCAAGAGAUCAUUGCGGUCCUUCAGUACCGCAUCCGCGUGCUGGAGGAGGCGCUGAAGAUAGAGCAGGAGCGAGGCGCCAUGACGGCUGUGCAGUCACCACUGACAGAGGUGCUUGCCAACCCCGGCUGUGCGGCGCCGGGGGCGGCGUUGGGUGCGGGUGUCACGCCGCUGGCUAACGCAGAGGCGCUGCGGCGGGAGUUCCAGUACUACCGUCAUCUGCUUCAGGAGCGAGAGCAGGAUCUGCGCCGUUUGCAAGCUCAACUGCCUGAAACGAGUGCUGAGGCUGGCUGCUCGCCACCAGUGCUGCCCGACUCACUGGAAACGUCGUCGCUAUCGUUGGACGAAGGCGACGCGGGCGCGAGAGACGAUCAGCAGGACUCCGCCACGCCACCAGCCUCGGCGCGGAGCAGCGACAGCUCUGGUGCACAGGUGCGCUCGGGUGAGGGGGGCGCUGCCGACGCGCACGUGCAGCUGCGGCGGUGCGUGCGCCAACUGCGCUCACUUCUCUCACGUGGUAGCAGCGAAGACAAGUGUGACGACGUGCUGGACCGCCUGCGCAACGCGGUGCUGCGUGCGACCGAACAGUACGAAGACGUCAACGAACAGCUGCUUGUCGUCUCUAGUUCACUGAGCGGGCUGCGUACACAAAAUCAUCGACUCUGCGAGGAGGUGCUGCGUGCCAACAAGCGCCUUUUAGCAAUCGAUGCGGAGUGCAGGGAGCGGUGCGCCGCCCUGCAGACGGCGACACUUCGAGCGACCACUGCGGAGACGGCUCUCGAGCAGUUGCGCCUGCAGCUAUUUCAGGCAUACGCCGAGCAGUCGAUACGGGAGGAGAUGACGCGCCUCUACCUGGAUGCGGCGCCGAUCGCCGCCAACGUCGAUGAGGCCGUGUCUGGCGACCGACAGACGGAGCAGCAGGUGGAGCUAGAGAAGGUGCAGGCGCACCAGCAAGUAUUGUGCGACAAGAUCACCGAGCUGGUGGACAACGUCGAGCAGCUGACGCUCGUCGUCGCGCAGAAGGAUGUGUCUCUGGCGGCGCUGGAGUCGCUCAUCACACCGGCGCAGCGAGCGCUCUUUCACACCCUGUCAAACACUUCCACUGCCAUCGCUGACCGCGGCACCACCAGCGUUGGUGGCAGUGAUGGCGGGCUUGCUGGCACGACCACGGCAGCCAUGGCCGCAGACGGCGGAAGCAGCGCCGCUGACUGUUUCAGUCUCUUGCAGUCACGCGUUUCGGAGCUCAGCUCCCUGCUUACGCAGGAGCAGCAGCAACAUCAGCUGGCCCAGUGCGAGCUCAUGGAGGCCCGCGAAGAUGCGCGGCGCAGUCGGCAGGAGCAGCGGCAGGCGUUCUUCCAACAGCAGGAGGAGGCGCGGCGCGUGGGCCAACUGAUGGCAGAGAACUACGAGCUGCGCCAACAGAACGAGCGCCAUCAGCUCUAUCUGCACCAUAUGUGCGUCAGCUUCCACGAAAAAUUACUGCAACUGCGACAUGGACACGAAGAGGAGAUGGCAGAACUGCGAAGCGCCGCGAAAGCGGCGCCAUCGCAUCCGCGCGGCAACGACGGUACGGCGAGACAGGGUUGCGAGGACGAGGACCACGACGAUGGGGCGUCGUCGGCCACCGCACAUGCCCUUGUGCGCGAUGAAAUGCCGCAGGGUGUGCCGUUGGGUGAGGAUCGGCUGCCUCAAAGCACUGUGCACGGCUCCGCUGCUGUCGCACUCUCGAUGGCGGGCGUGGUGGACAGUGGAGACGCGGGGUGGAGGGCAUCGGCGCCGAUACAGCGGUCCGGUCGAGUGCGGCAUCGGCUUACUAAGUCGAAUGCGCAACACCGCGGAGAAGGUCAGGACACGGCACCAACUACGACGGACCACGCGGUUGUGGCAGAUACUGCUGCCGUGUCGCCACAGCGCGUCCGGCUGCCGUCAAAGGUGGCGCGUCGUUCAGCGAGCAUCAGCAAGGCAAGGCGGCAUCUCUUCGCUACGUACGGUGAGCCAGCCGACCCCAAUGAUGCGCCGGUGCCUUUCGUCAAGUCAGACGUCGUCGCCUCUACCCCGACGGCAACGCGGCGCCGCGUUCGCGCGUCAGGAGAGGCGCACGGGAAGCGGCGCAAGUAGCCGCAACGGGAGUGUGAGGCACAUGUGCCUGUGUGCACGUAUGCGUGGGUGCGUGCGCGCUGGUGAGUGAUGCACCCGCACACACGCCUCAUGCGCACUUGCGUCCCCAUCAACGCACUCGUUGUGCGGUGUGUCUUCAUCUUUGCGCCUUUCUUUCGCCUCUCAUGUGUGCGCACAGACACAACGACGGAGUCACGGACACUCGCACCUCCGGUGCGAGUGCGGCGAUUUGUUACGUCGCGGCAUUUCUGUCUUCUCCCCUCCGUGCAGGGGGGUGCGUAGGCAUUGCUCCUGAUCGCUGAUGCUCGUUUU